rnacentral:piRNA from 1 species
UGCGGAUGUCUCAGAUACUGAAUAUGCCAC